rnacentral:rRNA from 1 species
CAAGUAGAACGCUGAAGAGAGGAGCUUGCUCUUCUUGGAUGAGUUGCGAACGGGUGAGUAACGCGUAGGUAACCUGCCUUGUAGCGGGGGAUAACUAUUGGAAACGAUAGCUAAUACCGCAUAACAAUGGAUGACACAUGUCAUUUAUUUGAAAGGGGCAAUUGCUCCACUACAAGAUGGACCUGCGUUGUAUUAGCUAGUAGGUGAGGUAAUGGCUCACCUAGGCGACGAUACAUAGCCGACCUGAGAGGGUGAUCGGCCACACUGGGACUGAGACACGGCCCAGACUCCUACGGGAGGCAGCAGUAGGGAAUCUUCGGCAAUGGGGGCAACCCUGACCGAGCAACGCCGCGUGAGUGAAGAAGGUUUUCGGAUCGUAAAGCUCUGUUGUAAGUCAAGAACGGGUGUGAGAGUGGAAAGUUCACACUGUGACGGUAGCUUACCAGAAAGGGACGGCUAACUACGUGCCAGCAGCCGCGGUAAUACGUAGGUCCCGAGCGUUGUCCGGAUUUAUUGGGCGUAAAGCGAGCGCAGGCGGUUUGAUAAGUCUGAAGUUAAAGGCUGUGGCUCAACCAUAGUUCGCUUUGGAAACUGUCAAACUUGAGUGCAGAAGGGGAGAGUGGAAUUCCAUGUGUAGCGGUGAAAUGCGUAGAUAUAUGGAGGAACACCGGUGGCGAAAGCGGCUCUCUGGUCUGUAACUGACGCUGAGGCUCGAAAGCGUGGGGAGCGAACAGGAUUAGAUACCCUGGUAGUCCACGCCGUAAACGAUGAGUGCUAGGUGUUGGAUCCUUUCCGGGAUUCAGUGCCGCAGCUAACGCAUUAAGCACUCCGCCUGGGGAGUACGACCGCAAGGUUGAAACUCAAAGGAAUUGACGGGGGCCCGCACAAGCGGUGGAGCAUGUGGUUUAAUUCGAAGCAACGCGAAGAACCUUACCAGGUCUUGACAUCCCGAUGCUAUUUCUAGAGAUAGAAAGUUACUUCGGUACAUCGGUGACAGGUGGUGCAUGGUUGUCGUCAGCUCGUGUCGUGAGAUGUUGGGUUAAGUCCCGCAACGAGCGCAACCCCUAUUGUUAGUUGCCAUCAUUCAGUUGGGCACUCUAGCGAGACUGCCGGUAAUAAACCGGAGGAAGGUGGGGAUGACGUCAAAUCAUCAUGCCCCUUAUGACCUGGGCUACACACGUGCUACAAUGGUUGGUACAACGAGUUGCGAGUCGGUGACGGCGAGCUAAUCUCUUAAAGCCAAUCUCAGUUCGGAUUGUAGGCUGCAACUCGCCUACAUGAAGUCGGAAUCGCUAGUAAUCGCGGAUCAGCACGCCGCGGUGAAUACGUUCCCGGGCCUUGUACACACCGCCCGUCACACCACGAGAGUUUGUAACACCCGAAGUCGGUGAGGUAACC